CAGUUGGAGAGCCCAUUAAUCCUGAGGCAUGGGACUGGUAUUAUAGAGUUGUUGGGGAUGGCAAAUGCCCAGUGGUGGAUACUUGGUGGCAAACAGAGACUGGUGGUAUCUGUAUCGCCCCUCACCCCGCAGACAGAGAGGCGAAGAUUCUCCCAGCUAUGGCAAUGAGACCCUUCUUCGGAAUUGACCCAGUACUAAUGGACGAGAAUGGUCGGAGAUUAACAGGGAACAAAAUCUCUGGAUCGCUCUGCAUUGCACAGCCAUGGCCGGGGAUGGCUCGGACGAUCUACAAUGACCAUGACCGAUUUGUGAGCACCU